UACGUAGGGACCGAGCGUUGUCCGGAUUUAUUGGGUUUAAAGGGUGCGUAGGCGGCCCGUUAAGUCAGUGGUGAAAGCCUCCAGCUCAACUGGAGAACUGCCAUUGAUACUGACGGGCUUGAGUACAGACGAGGUUGGCGGAAUUGAUUGUGUAGCGGUGAAAUGCAUAGAUACAAUCAAGAACACCGAUUGCGUAGGCAGCUAACUAGGCUGUAACUGACGCUGAGGCACGAAAGCGUGGGGAGCGAACAGG
rnacentral:rRNA from 1 species